GGGUCAGUAGGUUGGUCGUGCCACCGGUACGUACUGGUCUCACUGAUUCCUCCUUCCUGAAGAACCGUAAUGCCAUUAAUUUGGUGUUGCGGGGAAACAGGACUGUUACUUUGAAAAAAUUAGAGUGUUUAAAGCAAGCUAACGCUUGAAUACAUUAGCAUGGAGUAAUGAAAUAGGACGAUCGAUCCUAUAUUGUUGGUUUCUAGGAUUGACGUA
rnacentral:rRNA from 1 species